rnacentral:rRNA from 1 species
AGCAGCCGCGGUAAUUCCAGCUCCAAUAGCGUAUAUUAAAGUUGUUGCAGUUAAAAAGCUCGUAGUUGAAUUUCGGGAUCAGUACGCUGGUCGUGCCUUUGGUAUGUACUGGUGUCACUGAUUCCUCCCUUCUGAAGAACCGUUAUGCCAUUUAUUUGGUGUGGCGGGGAAUCAGGACUGUUACUUUAGAAAAAAUUGAGUGUUUAAAGCAGGCUCGCGCUUGAAUACAUUAGCAUGGAAUAAUGAAAUAGAACGUUCGAUCCUAUUUUGUUGGUUUCUAGGAUUGACGUAAUGAUUAAUAGGGAUAGUUGGGGGCAUUAGUAUUCAAUUGUCAGAGGUGAAAUUCUUGGAUUUAUGAAGACUAACUACUGCGAAAGCAUUUGCCAAGGAUG